rnacentral:hammerhead_ribozyme from 1 species
ACCAGCUGAAAAGUCCCAAACAGAACGAAACGCACGUCUUUGAU